ACUUUUAAAGCAUAACAGUCAAUACACUGGUCUUAGGAGACACUCAUCUUGGUGCAAAUCCAAGUAAAAGUA
rnacentral:tRNA from 1 species